rnacentral:lncRNA from 1 species
AGUUUUUUCAUAAAGGACAGAUCAUCGCUAUAAAUAUUUAAGAGCAAAGGGCAGUGAUAUGAGUGAGUACGUGGAAGGUGUCUCACAUGUGCAUUCGGGUAAUGGACUAGCCAAUCAUUAUUUGCAAAAAAUCUAUCUAGUCUUUAAAAAAUAAGAGCAUUUCAAUUGUUGAAGCGCUUAUUUAGACUAAAGUCAUCACUGCUGCAGUUGGUGGUUGGACAUUCAAGGUUGGAGUUUCCCAGGUUGGUAUGUAGAAGAACGACAGUGAUGGAAUUGUGAAGUACAGCGACGGUUGCAUCACUGUCAACAUUCAUACAUGGGCAUUGUCCAAGUCCAUCGCACGUCGCAUCCCCUCCGAUACUAAGUGGGCUAGUAGCUCUGGGGUUUGAAUGAGAAAUACUACCUCCGUGUUCUCCAUGAAUGCAUUGAUUACUAGGGUCUGGCCCCGCAAAUACAUCUCCACCCACGAAGACAGAUUCAAAUUUAUCGGCGUAAGAGGGGUCGAGUAAAUCGGGAUUGAGCCGACAGAGAGCCCCGACGCUGGGUAGAGGUGGAUAGUUGGGAGAGUGAUUUGGGAGUGACUUUGAUUCAUGGUUGGGUUUGUGUUUUGUCUGAGCUGGCAGUUUUGGCGUUGGUGGGAACUGCGAGGAGUCCUCGACAUUCUUAAAUAGGGAAAAGAAAGG